rnacentral:lncRNA from 1 species
GUGGAGUUGGUGCCUGACGCCUUGUCUGGUGUCCGUGUCCAUGGGGUGUGCAUUCAUACACGCACAUGGGGCUGUCGUGGGCACGUGUAGCGACAUGCAUGCGGAGCUCAUGGGCUGCCUUCCGUGGGCACAUGCCAAUGUCAUGGGCAUGUGUCGUGGGCACAUGUGGGCUGUCACAUGGUCGUGUUGGGCUGUCGUUCGGGCGUGCUUGGCUCCUCCUUGGCAUUCCUUUGGGAAUCUUGUAGCACGUUUUGGUUCAAAAAGUAGGGUCGUUUCGCGGGACGUGACAUCCUCCCCCACUCAACCUUCGCAACGUCCUUGUUGCGACAUUACUACGCGACCCUUUCCCUUUGCGGUGUCUUCUUGUCUUCAUAGUUCCUAGUAUGACCUUCCCUGUCAUUCCUAUGCAUUUGAGGGGCACCCCCCUCUCCUUGUUGAAAAACUAGGGUCUUCCUUGUGGCAUCAACAUAGGCAUGGGCUUGUUUCAUGAAGUCCAACCCUAGGACAAUUUUAGAAUCAUCAAGAGGUGCUAGGAGGAAGUCUACUUUACCUUUCCACUCUCCUAUCUUCACCUUGACAUUCCAAUCCCAUCCAUAGUUGUGUGUUGGUUCGACAUUGAUUAUCUUCCAUUCAAAGUCGUCCCUCCUCAUGAUCCUAAGGCCUAGCCACUUCGCCUCUUAUGGAUCUAAGAUAUUGUUGGUUGCACCUGUAUCCAGCAAUGCUAAGGCAGCCCGAUCGUUGAGUGUGGUGUCCACGUACAAUAAACCUCUCCAUGUAAGUUCUUUUGAAGAAGGGCCUACCUUCAUGGCAUCGAGGUAUUGCAUUUCUCCCAAGUGUGCCUCUUUGGGUGCUUCUUCCUCUUCUCCCUCGUGGAGCUUUGCCACCAAUGCACUCAACAUUUUCUUUUGUGGAAAGGGCUAUAAAUACUUGGGGAGGGCCUCAUUUGUACCAAGCCUUGCAAACCUUGCAACUUGGCAUGUUUUAGCCAAGCAAGGUCACCUUGUCUCACCUAGUCUCCUUGCCCAUGGCACCCCAUUAGAAGAGACAACAUAUUUGUACCCAAAUGUGUAUUUAUCUAUUCUUGGAAUGUAAUGUAUCAUUUCCAACAUAUUUGUACCCAAAUGCAUGUAGAGGACACCUUGGUCUAAAAAGAACCGCUAGAAUUCUUUUAGAAAGUGGGUUAUAUUGAAAUUACUUUUUAUCGAUGCUUAUGCUUAUUGUGAAUCAUGUGCAAAGUGUCAAAGAACUGGUUCACUGUGAAAUUUUAUUACAAUUAAUUUUGAAUAUGAAAUCUUGAUAGAGUUUAGACAUGCAUAGUGGAAAUCGGAUCUAGAAAAUUAUCCUAAUUGCUAAGAUUAACAUGCAUAAAAAUAAACCCUAUAUUAAAUAGAAAUUAGAGUUUUAAUGAAACUUACACUAAAAGCUCUGAUUGAUGCUUAAUUUUUUGCUUGAACUCAAAUGGACCACAACUAGUAGUCACCUACCUAUCUUUUGAGAACUGGGUAGUGGGACCCAAUAGAUGAUAAAAUCGAGAGAGAUGAAAUUGGAAAGUCAAUAAUGAUUUUCAAAGGUCAAUAUUUGGAUUUUUUUUUGUGUGUGUGGAGAAAUUCUUUCAAAAGCCGGUGAACAAAGAUUAUUAGAUCUUCAAGAGAUUGAAGAGUUAAGGUUAGAUGACUACCAGAACUUUAAAAUUUACAAAAAGAAAAUUAAAUGUUUCCAUGAUAGUAAGAUUCUAAGAAAGAACCUUGAGGUUGGACAAAAGGUUCUCCUCAAAAACUCUAAGAUCAAGCUCAUGUUCGAUAAGUUGAAAUCCAAAUGGGUAAGUCCUUUUAUUAUAACUAAUAUCUCUCCUUUUGGUGCAGUUGAUGUCAAUAGUUUAGACACAAGAAAAGUUUCAAAGUGAAUGGACAUAGACUCAAAGUUCUAGAAUUCUAUAAGACUCAAAGUUCUACUAUAAGAAAAAUAAAAUUCUAGAAUCAACAUUACCCACAUAUGUUAAUAAAGAUCUUUAUAUUGAUAAUAAAAAUAUAAAUUACAUUGUCGACAAAGGUUUUACAAGAAUCCAAUAAAUAAUAAGUAAUACAUGUAUGGGUCACCUAAUCUAAUCAAACUAACACACAAAUCAACUUAAUCUCAUGGUCCAUGAAUUCUUCUUAAUAAGCACACAAAUGAACUUUCCAAAACAAGCGAAGGUAAAAAUAAAAUUCGAACUGUAAUUGAAGUUUGAAAUGUCACUUGCAUUAAUACAACUAAGCUUUAUAUCAAACUUUACUGACACAAACAGUAUAAUCCACGACAUAAUAACAACAUAGAUAAGCUUCAAGUCAAAAUAAACUUAAAAACUUAAGGAAAUGUAGUCAACUCUACUUACAUAUUAGAGUCAACUUUUAUGGAUAUUUUUGUCAAAAAGAAAUAAUUAUCUUCGUUUUUAUUAUUAUUAAUUUGAUUAUUUAAAUAAAGGAUAUUACUUUAAAAUAUGGAUAUUAUUUAAAGAUAAAAUAUUUUCUUCAUAAUAUGAAUUGUUUAUCUAUAACUUUGCAUAAAGAAGUUAUAGGAGAUAUAUUAUCGUGAUCUUUAAUUAGAUAAGUUAUUGGCUUACACUACUACAAAAACAGGCUCUCUUGACGUUUUUAAACGGUCAAGAGAAGGCUUUCUUGACGGUUUUAAAACCGUCGUUGAAGCCAGCGUCAAGAAAGGCAAAGUUCUUGACGGUUGAUUAAACGUCAAGAAUAGUGAACGUUGACGUUUUAUAAACGUCAAGUAUACUUAUGUUCAUGAAGUUUUAGAACCGUCAAGACUGAUAUUAUUUAUGACAUUUUAAAACCGUCAAGGAUGAACUGAUUUAUGACAUUUUAAAACCGUCAAGAAUUUUAAUAUUCAUGACAUUUUAAAACUGUCAAGAAUGUAAUUGUUCUUGACAUUUGUAAACCGUCAAAAAUGCAAUUGUUCAUGAUAGUUUAAAACCGUCAAGCUUGCAAUUGUUCAUGACAUUUUAAAACCGUCAAACAUUUUUUAAUUUUUUUAAAAAAAUAAUUUGUAAUUGAAUUAUGCUGUAAUGGAACGAUGAUUGUCCUGUAAUUGUCCAGAAACAGUUUCAUAGAUAUUUGAUAUUCAUCCAAUAUAGUUUCAAAUCUCAAAAAUAUAUAAAUAAAAUCAUUCAGCAUAUAUAAUAUUCAAUUCCAAGACUUUACAUAUACAUAAUGAAAUAGGCUUUACAUUAUAUUUCAUAUGGCAUUACAUUGGCAUGAAUUCAAAUCAACUUACAAAGUCACAAAACAUGACAGCUACAACAAUAAUCAAAAGUAUAUACAACUUACCCAAAUCAAAAGUAUAUACGAAUGAACAAACCUUAUACAACUUACCCAAAUCUUCGCGAAAGAAAUCGAGCAGUAGCUUUGCGAAGAGACGACGUGCGACGACCGUAUACAGACGGCCGGAGAGUCGCGCGGCAGUGCAGACAACGGAGGAGAAGGGAUCGGCGGCGGCUGGCUUGGACGACGGUUGUGAGCGGCGGACGUGGCGAUUACUGCUUCACACGGUGGCUCGGCUUCGACGGAGACAGAACAAGACGCGGAAACGGUUGCAGCGGCGGUGAGGCUGUGCACGGCGACGCAAAUCUGGACCGGGCAGCGGCGGAAGGGCAACGGCGCGGUCUUGCGGUGCAGAUCUGGACGGCGGCACAUCUGGACGCGUACGGCUGCUUUGCGAACUGAAGAGAAGAGGAGAAGGGUCGCGGCGCUCGGCUUCAGUAGGGGAGACGCGGCGGUUUGCGGCAGGGCUGCGGACGGAAGAAGAAAAUGGAAGGGAAGGGAGGCGACGGUUUGCGGCGGGGCUGCGAACGAGAAGGAGAAGAGGAAUGGAGUUCGGUCGGUGGCGGUUUUGCUUCGCGAAUGGAGAGAAGGAGAAGGAUGGGGCGGCUGGGCUGCGGCGGAAAGAAAGACGGAAGGGAAGGGCGGAAGGAAAAGAGAAAAGAGAAGGAAAGGAGAAGGGAAACGAGAAGGGAAAAGAGAAGGAAGCGGGGGGGUCGCGGCGCGCGAGGGAGAGAGAGAGAGAUUUCUUUUUCCUUUUUCUUUUCUUUUUAUUUAAAUUAAAUAUAAAUAAUAAAUAAAUAAAUAUAAUAUAUAUAUAUAUAAAAUAAAAAAAACAAAAUAUAUAUAUAACGGUUCUUGACGUUUUAAAAACGUCAAGCAAUUUUUACAAUAGUCUUGACGUUUUAAAACCGUCAAUAAUAUUUUAUAAAUUUCUUGACGUUUUUAAAAACGUCAAGGAUUUUUUUAUAAAUUUCUUGACGUUUUUAAAACGUUAAGUAAAAUUUUAAAUUCUUGACGUUUAAGAAACGUCAAGCAUGUCGAAUUCAUACGCUUCUUGACGUUUUAAGAACGUCAAAAAAUUAAUAGAUAUUUCUUGAUGUUUUAAAAACGUCAAGAAAAAAUUUAUUUUUUCUUGACGUUUAAUAAACGUCAAGAAUGAUGUUUCAGAAAAAUUCUUGACGUUUUUUUAUUAAAAAUGAAAUCUUUCUUGACGUUUUUCGAAAAAAACGUCAAGAAAGGAAAACAGCAACCGUCAAGAAAGCCUAUUUUUCUAGUAGUGUUAGUUCGGUGUGUGCAUAAAUGAAAAUUUAAUUUCGGACAAGUUCUCUCUUGAAGAAUUAUUAUUUGGGAUGAUAGUAGAAUUGUCUUUGUUACGAAGAUGGAUUACUGAAGUUUUGCAAGUGGUAUUUACGUUGCACCUGUUGAAAAGAAAUAUGAAAAAAAACUGAGUUAGUUGAACUGCAGUCAAUGAAUUCAAGAGGGGUCUGAGUUUAUCUUCAAGUAGAUUCAAACACAAAUUCUGGGGAGCUUGUCUUUUAUUAAGUUUUUGUUAUAACUUAAAGAGUGUUGUUGGUUACUCAUUUGAAUCUUAAUAAUAUUUCUUAUCUGAGCGGAGAAGCUCCCUAGACGUAGGUGGUAUUCGUUGGGUUAACAAAG